rnacentral:rRNA from 1 species
UGCAUGGCUGUCGUCAGCUCGUGUUGUGAAAUGUUGGGUUAAGUCCCGCAACGAGCGCAACCCUUAUCCUUUGUUGCCAGCGGUUCGGCCGGGAACUCAAAGGAGACUGCCAGUGAUAAACUGGAGGAAGGUGGGGAUGACGUCAAGUCAUCAUGGCCCUUACGAGUAGGGCUACACACGUGCUACAAUGGCGCAUACAAAGAGAAGCGACCUCGCGAGAGCAAGCGGACCUCAUAAAGUGCGUCGUAGUCCGGAUUGGAGUCUGCAACUCGACUCCAUGAAGUCGGAAUCGCUAGUAAUCGUAGAUCAGAAUGCUACGGUGAAUACGUUCCCGGGUCUUGUACACACGC